CCUGCAAAUCAUUAACAAUGGAGGACCUCACAAAUAUUAUCAAGUAGAGCUCUUUCUUGUAGAAAACAUCAAACAAAAUCCAACACUUUCUUGUAGGGUGCAUUGUGAAAAUACAAAAACAACGACAUUAAAAUUCUAAACAUUUCAUGAGAAGUUGAUUAUACAUGCUGCAGAACUCUUUUCAAUAAUUUCUAAUUCCUUCCUCACAUCUCUUCGCUUCUUUAGAUCUCGUGGCUCGGUUUUACACCACCAGACAUCCAUCUUCUCCAAAACACGCGCAUACUUCAGAACACAUUUAAGGAAACAUAUUUCUGAAUCAUCCGCAUGAAAGUUCUUGAAAGUCAAAGCCUUGAGAUGAUGCGAUAUGCAUAUUGGUACCAGUAACCAGAUCAAAUCAUUUUCACCAAGCCGCAUGCAACGAUCAAAUCCCUGUACAGUAGAUUAAUAGAUUGUAGAGUUGGACAGAAGUUGAGCAAAUCCAUGAGUGCUCUGAAAGUGUAAUUCCCAAUUUCCAUAGUCAAGACUAGAUGGGUCAAAUUUGGAAAUACGGGAAAACGGUCCAACAUGCUACCUGCAUACAUAAGACCCUUUGAAAAGCAAAGAGAUCACAACCACAAAAAAUCAGUAUGAACUAGUUCUGACUAUUCAUUAAAGUCAUAUGUUAGCUUGCUAAUUACCUCCAUAGUGCGAUUAGAUACCUUCAAAAACACAACAUUUCGUAGC
rnacentral:lncRNA from 1 species